GAUGAAGAACGUAGUAAAAUGCGAUACUUGGUGUGAAUUGCAGAAUCCCGUGAACCAUCGAGUUUUUGAACGCAAGUUGCGCCCGAAGCCUUUUGGCCGAGGGCACGUCUGCCUGGGCGUCACGCAUCGCGUCGCCCCCCCACAAUUCUCCGUAAAGGGAACAUGUGUUUUGGGGGCGGAUAUUGGUCUCCCGUGCUCAUGGCGUGGUUGGCCGAAAUAGGAGUCCUUUCGAUGGACGCACGAACUAGUGGUGGUCGUAAAAACCCUCGUCUUUUGUUUCGUGCUGUUGCUCGCAAGGUAAACUCUUUAAAAACCCCAAUGCGUCGUCUCUUGACGACGCUUCUACCGCGACCCCAGGUCAGGCGGGACUACCCGCUGAGUUUAAGCAUAUCAAUAAGCGGAGGA
rnacentral:misc_RNA from 1 species